UACGAAGGGGACUAGCGUUGUUCGGAAUCAUUGGGCUUAAAGGGCGCGUAGGCGGCGGUGUAAGUUGGAAGUGAAAUCCCAUCGGCUCAACCGUGGAAUUGCUCCCAGUACUGCAUCGCUCGAGGGGGAUAGGGGUUUGCGGAACUACCGGUGGAGCGGUGAAAUGUGUUGAUAUCGGUGGGAACGCCAGUGGCGAAAGCGGCAAACUUGACCCUUCCUGACGCUGAGGCGCGAAAGCUAGGGGAGCAAACGGG
rnacentral:rRNA from 1 species